ACAAGACAAAACAAAACAAUAAAGCAUUAGUAAAUCCCACAGAAAUAGCGCAAAUAAUUAUGUAAACAUAGGAAACAUAAAUAUCAUCGCAUGCAAUAAUAACAAACAGUAACUACCCCACUAACAACCAUAAGGGGGACAUAACUAAAACACGAAUCCUCUAUGGGUAACCCUGCUGUCCCACACCCAACCCCGGAUAAGGCGAACGAAGAAGUCUAUGAGCGAAGAACUCUAUGAGCCCCUAGCCUACAACCCUGAUUCUAGACCUCCAAACUGGGUAACCCUGCUGUCCCACACCCAACCUCGGAUGAGGCGAAUGAAGAACUCUAUGAGCGAAGAACUCUACGAGCCCCUAGCCUACAACCCCGAUUCUAGACCUCCAAACUCCCCUAUCAAGGGUCAUGUCCUCGGAAACCUGCAUUCUAGUCAUN
rnacentral:lncRNA from 1 species